UAUUACCCGACUGCGCCAGAAGGAGGGUUAUGUUUUUCGAGUGUAUGUAUGUAUAUAUGUAUGUAUGUAUGUAUGUAUGUAUGUAUGUAUGUAUAAUUGUUUGGCACGCUCUGCAGCCUAAACGGCUUGAUGGAUUUUGACUUGAGAGGUGUCGUUAGAUUCGUAUUUACUGUGAGAGUGA